rnacentral:rRNA from 1 species
GUGGGGAAUCUUCCGCAAUGGACGAAAGUCUGACGGAGCAACGCCGCGUGAGUGAUGAAGGUCUUCGGAUUGUAAAGCUCUGUUAAUCGGGACGAAAGAGCCUAGUGUGAAUAAUGCUAGGAAGUGACGGUACCGGAAUAGAAAGCCACGGCUAACUACGUGCCAGCAGCCGCGGUAAUACGUAGGGGGCAAGCGUUGUCCGGAAAUAUUGGGCGUAAAGCGCGCGCAGGCGGAUCUGGCAGUCUGUCUUAAAAGUUCGGGGCUUAACCCCGUGAUGGGAUGGAAACUACAGAUCUAGAGUAUCGGAGAGGAAAGUGGAAUUCCUAGUGUAGCGGUGAAAUGCGUAGAUAUUAGGAAGAACACCAGUGGCGAAGGCGACUUUCUGGACGAAAACUGACGCUGAGGCGCGAAAGCCAGGGGAGCGAACGGGAUUAGAUACCCCGGUAGUCC